rnacentral:rRNA from 1 species
UGCGUAGGGUGCAAGCGUUAAUCGGAAUUACUGGGCGUAAAGCGUGCGCAGGCGGUGAUGUAAGACUGGUGUGAAAUCCCCGGGCUUAACCUGGGAACUGCAUUUGUGACUGCAUCGCUGGAGUGCGGCAGAGGGGGAUGGAAUUCCGCGUGUAGCAGUGAAAUGCGUAGAUAUGCGGAGGAACACCGAUGGCGAAGGCAAUCCCCUGGGCCUGCACUGACGCUCAUGCACGAAAGCGUGGGGAGCAAACAGG